CCAAUAGCGUAUAUUAAAGUUGUUGCAGUUAAAAAGCUCGUAGUUGAAUUUCGGGAUCAAUUCGUCGGUCGUGCUUUUUGGUACGUACUGGCGUUAUUGGUUUCUCCUUUCUGACGAGCCAUGAUGUCAUUAAUUUGGUGUUAUGGGGAGUUAGGACUGCUACUUUGAAAAAAUUAGAGUGUUUAAAGCAGGCAUUAGCUUGAAUACAUUAGCAUGGAAUAAUGAAAUAGGACGUUCGAUCCUAUUUUGUUGGUUUCUAGGAUCAACGUAAUGAUUAAUAGGGAUAGUUGGGGGCAUUAGUAUUCAAUUGUCAGAGGUGAAAUUCUUGGAUUUAUUGAAGACUAACUACUGCGAAAGCAUUUGCCAAGGAUGUUUUCAUUAAUCAAGAACGAAAGUUAGGGGAUCGAAGACGAUCAGAUACCGUCGUAGUCUUAACCAUAAACUAUGCCGACUAGGGAUCGGAUGAUGUUAAUUUUUUAAUGACUCAUUCGGCGCCUUACG
rnacentral:rRNA from 1 species